rnacentral:rRNA from 1 species
UACGUAGGUGGCAAGCGUUGUCCGGAUUUAUUGGGUUUAAAGGGUGCGUAGGCGGCCAUGUAAGUCAGUGCUGAAAUAUCCCGGCUUAACCGGGAGGGUGGCAUUGAUACUGCGGGGCUAGAGUACAGAUGAGGUAGGCGGAAUUGACGGUGUAGCGGUGAAAUGCUUAGAUAUCGUCAAGAACACCUAUAGCGAAGGCAGCUUACUAGGCUGUAACUGACGCUGAGGCACGAAAGUGUGGGGAUCAAACAGG